CGUGUAGGCGGCUUGGUAAGUCGGAUGUGAAAGUCCCGGGCUCAACCCGGGAAGUGCAUUCGAAACUGCUAGGCUUGAGUAAGAGAGAGGAAAGUGGAAUUCCUGGUGUAGAGGUGAAAUUCGUAGAUAUCAGGAGGUACACCGGUGGCGAAGGCGACUUUCUGGCUCUAUACUGACGCUGAGACGCGAAAGCGUGGGUAGCAAACAGGAUUAGAUACCCUGGUAGUCC
rnacentral:rRNA from 1 species